rnacentral:rRNA from 1 species
GAUGAACGCUGGCGGCGUGCCUAAUACAUGCAAGUCGAGCGAACAGACGAGGAGCUUGCUCCUCUGACGUUAGCGGCGGACGGGUGAGUAACACGUGGAUAACCUACCUAUAAGACUGGGAUAACUUCGGGAAACCGGAGCUAAUACCGGAUAAUAUAUUGAACCGCAUGGUUCAAUAGUGAAAGACGGUUUUGCUGUCACUUAUAGAUGGAUCCGCGCCGCAUUAGCUAGUUGGUAAGGUAACGGCUUACCAAGGCAACGAUGCGUAGCCGACCUGGGAGGGUGAUCGGCCACACUGGAACUGAGACACGGUCCAGACUCCUACGGGAGGCAGCAGUAGGGAAUCUUCCGCAAUGGGCGAAAGCUUGACGGAGCAACGCCGCGUGAGUGAUGAAGGUCUUCGGAUCGUAAAACUCUGUUAUUAGGGAAGAACAAAUGUGUAAGUAACUAUGCACGUCUUGACGGUACCUAAUCAGAAAGCCACGGCUAACUACGUGC